rnacentral:rRNA from 1 species
UUGGAGAAGGCUAGGCCAGCUUGGCGUUGGUUGUCCAAGUUUAAGGUGGUAGGCUGAAAUCUUAGGUAAAUCCGGGGUUUCAAGGCCGAGAGCUGAUGACGAGUCGUCUUUUAGAUGACGAAGUGGUUGAUGCCAUGCUUCCAAGAAAAGCUUCUAAGCUUCAGGUAACCAGGAACCGUACCCCAAACCGACACAGGUGGUCGGGUAGAGAAUACCAAGGCGCUUGAGAGAACUCGGGUGAAGGAACUAGGCAAAAUGGCACCGUAACUUCGGGAGAAGGUGCGCCGGCUAGGGUGAAGGAUUUACUCCGUAAGCUCUGGCUGGUCGAAGAUACCAGGCCGCUGCGACUGUUUAUUAAAAACACAGCACUCUGCAAACACGAAAGUGGACGUAUAGGGUGUGACGCCUGCCCGGUGCCGGAAGGUUAAUUGAUGGGGUUAGCGCAAGCGAAGCUCUUGAUCGAAGCCCCGGUAAACGGCGGCCGUAACUAUAACGGUCCUAAGGUAGCGAAAUUCCUUGUCGGGUAAGUUCCGACCUGCACGAAUGGCGUAACGAUGGCGGCGCUGUCUCCACCCGAGACUCAGUGAAAUUGAAAUCGCUGUGAAGAUGCAGUGUAUCCGCGGCUAGACGGAAAGACCCCGUGAACCUUUACUGUAGCUUUGCACUGGACUUUGAGCCUGCUUGUGUAGGAUAGGUGGGAGGCUUUGAAGCGUGGACGCCAGUUCGCGUGGAGCCAUCCUUGAAAUACCACCCUGGCAUGCUUGAGGUUCUAACUCUGGUCCGUAAUCCGGAUCGAGGACAGUGUAUGGUGGGCAGUUUGACUGGGGCGGUCUCCUCCUAAAGAGUAACGGAGGAGUACGAAGGUGCGCUCAGACCGGUCGGAAAUCGGUCGCAGAGUAUAAAGGCAAAAGCGCGCUUGACUGCGAGACAGACACGUCGAGCAGGUACGAAAGUAGGUCUUAGUGAUCCGGUGGUUCUGUAUGGAAGGGCCAUCGCUCAACGGAUAAAAGGUACUCCGGGGAUAACAGGCUGAUACCGCCCAAGAGUUCAUAUCGACGGCGGUGUUUGGCACCUCGAUGUCGGCUCAUCACAUCCUGGGGCUGAAGCCGGUCCCAAGGGUAUGGCUGUUCGCCAUUUAAAGUGGUACGCGAGCUGGGUUUAGAACGUCGUGAGACAGUUCGGUCCCUAUCUGCCGUGGACGUUUGAGAUUUGAGAGGGGCUGCUCCUAGUACGAGAGGACCGGAGUGGACGAACCUCUGGUGUUCCGGUUGUCACGCCAGUGGCAUUGCCGGGUAGCUAUGUUCGGAAAAGAUAACCGCUGAAAGCAUCUAAGCGGGAAACUUGCCUCAAGAUGAGAUCUCACUGGGAACUUGAUUCCCCUGAAGGGCCGUCGAAGACUACGACGUUGAUAGGCUGGGUGUGUAAGCGUUGUGAGGCGUUGAGCUAACCAGUACUA